rnacentral:lncRNA from 1 species
AUGCUGUUUGUCCCCGGUCCUGGUCCCCAGAGAUGCCCCUUGUCCCGAGUCCCAAUCCCAGGGAUGCUGCUUGUCCCCGGUCCUGGUCCCAGGGAUGCUGCUUGUCCCCGGUCCCAGGGAUGCUUGUCCCCGGUCCUGGUCCCAGGGAUGCUGCUUGUCCCCGGUCCCAGGGAUGCUUGUCCCGGUCCCGGUCCCAGGGAUGCCCGCCCGGCGCUGGCACAGCCCGGCACGGUGCCCGGCAGGGAUGCGGUGGCUCCGCGGGCGCAGUUACCAGCAGAUGGCAGCUGGAGAUCGCGGAGGGAAAUUUGGGCGUUCUCUGCUCUUUCAAGCACAGCCCACAGUUCCUGGGUGACCCCGGCACAGGCACGGUCUCACCACGGAGCAGGGAUGGGACCUUCCUGCUUCUCACCCCGAGCUGGGAGGGAUCAUAAGGAACCCCAGACCCGGUGCUUAUCCUUCCAGACAUUGGAAACAGAAUUUUAAAAAAACAACCACCAAUUCACAGGCCACAUCUCUCCUCCCUUCACCCCAGGCUCAACCUCUCAAGCCACAGAAUCACUUAGAUGUCAUUUUCUAACCAAUCCCACCACAGAAUUGCUCAUGCAGGUCAAGCCAGCCCUCAAAUACAUUUUAGGCAGAGUAACUCGGAGGACAGGAGCAAUCCCUGUUCUCCUUCACGCCAAAGCCUCACCCACAACCCAUCACUGCAGCAGUUCCCCAGAAACAAGCAUUACCCUGUAGUCAGUUCUUGCUUCUUUCCUUUCCAGGUCCCUCUGCCCAUAAAUGCCCCUCCCUCCACCACAGUCCGUCCUGCAAUGGGACUCACUCACUGUGCCAUGGCACAGCCCCAGCUCCACACCUCCUGAGAUGUCUUGUGCUCUGUGCUCUUUCCUCCUCCUCCUCCCAGGUAGCCCAGGUGAGCUGUGUCACAGAGGACAACUGUAAGAAGGAGUAAGAAGGAAUCUGGGAGAAGGAAUCAUCCCCACCUUCUCACCCACAGGAGCUGGCUUUGAGGAAGUGCAAAUGUGAGAGGAUCUACCCAGUCCCUCAUGCACUGAUUGAAAAAUUGA